rnacentral:lncRNA from 1 species
CGAGCGGCCGGGCCGGGAGGUGCGGAAGUUCGCCGCCGCUGUUCAUUGGCAGGCAGCGCCGCUUUCAUCAUUUCUCGGAAAAGUCAAUUUCAUUUUCACUUCCCCACGUCGCGGCAGCGGGAGCAACAAGCGGCUGCUCUCUUGUAUAAUGAAACCAGAAUGAUCUCCUCAGUGAGGCAUGCUUGUGUUUUACCUGUGGAAUGGAACAUCCUAAAGGAAGAUCUCCCUGGAUGCAUCAGGACCAAUUUCUUUUCAAGGAGUCGAGUAAGGACAUGUAGAGAUGGAUCUCUCCAUGAAUGGAACUCAACUAAGGAAGAAAUUGAAAGACACAUUCCAGGUGCAAAUAUUGACUCUCCAAAGGAACGUGUAAGAACCAACUUGUCAAUUGGUGUGUCUCCGGAUCAGUAGCUGUUAAAAAGUGAUACAGCCCUUGAUCAUUAUUAAAGUUUAAAUAAUCUUUUGCUUUGAUUCGCAUCAGGUUUUAAAUAUGAUGCUUGAGAAAGAUUGAGAGUAAGAGAAAUCUAUAGCAACUAAAAAAUCCUUUCUAAUUGUAAAUUUUCAUUUCACUUAUAUGCAAAUUUCAGUUACUGUGUUCUUAGCAAUCGAAUUCUUAGAUCACAAACAUGAAUGAGGACUCUAAGAAAAAUAUCAAACUUUUAUGUGAAAUUUGUUCUUUCUGCCUUUCUUCUUUCUGGCACUUUCAUAUUUAGUCAUCAUAUUUCCUAUUUUGCUUGCUUAAUUGCCACAUACAACAAGAUUAGCCGACGGGGAAAGAAAACAUCUCAUUUGAGGGCAGUGAAGGAAAGGCCCUUUCUCUCUCUCUCUCUCUCACACACACACACACACACACACACACACUGGAGGAGGGUUAUCUGCAUGCAGAUGCUCAUUUGGAAUUCAGAACAUUUUUUCCUGCAGAAAUAAGAAACUAUAAUAGUAUAAGUAUAUAGUUUACCUUCAUUAUAAGUUAAAAUAAGAGUUUGUGGGCUGGCCUGGAAAUACACCAUUUUAUAACGUUGUACACAUGGGAGAAUUUCACUCUGAAAUCUAAACGGCUGUUUUCAAAAGAAACUAUUAGAGCACACUGCGUUGUCUGGGUCUGGCUCUGCCCGCCCUCCGCCCUGCUCAGGGCUGUGCUCAGCAGCAUGGAGAAGACAAGGAAGAAAGAGACCUGGUUCCUGAUCUCAAGGCAUUUGCAGUUGACAUUGAGAGACAGGGCCGACAACGAAAAGAUGAUUAUUACAAGAGGGAAAUGGUAUGCGUCCCCUCUCCCAAGUAACAUUGGAAUACAUUCAUUUAUCUGUUCAUUCAGCAUCUGUUUCUUGACUUUACAGUAAUUAUCUCUCUUUUUUAUAUUUUAAAUGAUAUUUCUAAUGUAAAUAAUACAUGAUUUCCAUAGACUGUUAGAGCAACACAGACUUAUUUGUAGUGACAAAAUCAGAAAGAACUUGAAUGUCUGCUGGCAACUGAAGGAUUGAAUAAAGUAUGGUUGAUCAUCCUAUGGAAUGUUAUGCACCAAUAAAAAACAAAUUAAGAAUGUUUGUUGAUCUGGAGAGGGGACCAGGAUGCAUUAUAAAGAAUAAAAAUAAAGAUGCAAAGAAAUAUUCAUAUUAUGAUCUUUUUGCAAACACAACAGUGACCCCCCCUCCCCCAAAAAAAGUUUGAAUUAAAAAGUAUAAAGGGGGGGACCAGCCAGGUGGCAUAGUGGUUAAGCUUACGCACUCUGCUUUGGUGGCCUGGGGUUCACAGGUUCAGAUCCUGGGCACAGACCUAGCACCACCCACAUAAAAAACAUACAGGCAGACUGGCACAGAUGUUAGCUCAGCAACAAUCUUCCUCACAAAAAAAGGAAAAAAAAAAGGAUAAGGGUGUAUACACAAAGCUGUUAAUAUUGGUCACCUUGAGGACAGGUGGGUUACUAAUGUUUUUCUUCAUUUAUCUUCAUCUUGGGGGAAAAAAUGAUAAUUUUAAAACAAAAUGAAAAUUUGGAAAUACAGAGUGGAUUAAAGAGAAAAAUUAAAAUCACUUUGAUUUGAUUUCUAUUAUGUUAAAUGUGUGUGUGUGUGUGUGUGUGUGAACUGCCCUGGAUAAUUAAUUCGAAAUGAUUUUUCUUGACCAUCACUAUGUUUAUGUCAACUCAGGGGCCUCCUGGCAAGACUGCUUUAACCCAAAGCCACCCAGUAGACCCACGAUGGAGACCCCUUUAAGCAGGUCACUCCUGUGAGCUCAGCCUGAUGACCAGUCCUCAAAGACUCUUCCUGUGUGACACCGAGAUACUAAGGUGGGGGAGGAUUGCAGCUGGACUUAAGAGAAACUUUUGGAAGAAGAGACAAAAAGAAACCAUCCAUUUGGAGCAAGGUCACUGAAGCCAAGUACCAAGUAGCACCAACCCCUCCCAUCCUGCCACCAGUCCCCGUGAAUUUAAAGGAGUCUGCAGUCAUGCAGCCCUUUCUGAGUUAGCACCCUAAGCCCACCUGUAUCCAGUCAGCGUCCAGGGACUCCAGAAGCUCUCAAUACUUUGCAAAGAGGAAAUAUUCAACAGAUUCAUUCAACAAAUAUUUGUGGAGUGCCUGCACUAAGACACAGGGUUUUAGGGUAAAGAUAGUUGGCUUGGAUAUUAGCCCAAUAAAAUUAACCAUUGGACUAUCAGUGGGAACCCCAGAGAUAGAUAUUCAACAUGAGCCCGAACUAAAAAUACAACUCAUUUCCUAUGUUGUGGAGUUUUUUUUACUUCUUUGCUUUAAAAGUUAGAUCAAUAUGAGUAUAGCCUUUCACUGUAAACUGAGCUCUGGACAUCUGUAUGUAACUCUCAGUGGAAGGCUCACCGAGAAGUCUGUCAGAGCAGCUCUUUAAUCUCAUCAUGUUUAAACCUGAACUUGUUGUCUUCCCUCCAAAUCUGUAUGUCGGCUAUGAAUCACUCUUACGUGCCUCUGUUCCCUUGCUUCCAAGAUCCGAUCAAUCUCCACAUCACACCACUUCUACCUUUUGAACAUCAUUCAAACAAAAGUGACCUACACUACAGAAGUGAUCUCUUCUGUAGACAAUCUAUCAGGCAAUCACAGAUGGGUACUAUUAUUCUCAUCCCCAUUUGACAGACGAACAAACAGUAUUACAGGGGUUAAAUAACUUUCCUAAGAUCACAUAACUAGUAUAUGGCAAAGCCAACAUUCAAGCUCAAGUCUGUCUGAUUCUAAAGACUAGGGUCCUUAUGGCCUGUGCCUCGAGUUUAGCAAUCACUGCCCUAGGUGAAGCCUUAUCCCUUCUUCGUAUUGGUCUUUCACUCUUUUUUUCAGUUUCUUUUUUACCUUUAUUAUAUUUUCUAAAGUUAAGUUUGUAAGGGUAUAAUAUACAAAAUAAAAUUCACUCCUUUUAAGUACAGUUUGAUGAGUUUUGACAAAUGUGUAUGGUUGUGGAACUACCACCAUAAUCAAGACACAGAACAUUUCCAUCAUCCCAAAAAGUUCUUCUUGACCUUUUACAGUCAAUCCCCUGCCCUAGUUUCUGACUAUGGCAAUUACCAAUCUGAUUUUUCUCUCUAUAGUUUUGCCUUUAAGGAAUGUAACAUAAAUGGAAUAAUAUAGUGUGUAACCUUUGGUAUCUGGCUACCUUCACUUAACAUAAAGCUUUUGAUUUCAUCCUUGUUUUUGUGGGUAUCAAUAGUUCAGUCCUUUUUAUGGCUGAGUAGUAUUCCUUUGCAUCCAUGUAUCUCUGUUGGUUCAUCCAUUCACCAGAUAAAGGACAUUUGAGUUGUUUCCAGUUUGGGGCUACUAUGAAUAAAGCUUCUAGAAACAUUCACAUACAGGUCUUUGUAUGAACACAGGUUUUCUUUUGUCUUGGUUAAACAAAUACAUAGGGGUAGGGUUAUAGGUCAUAUAGAAAAUGUAUGUGUAUGCUUGACUUUAUAAGAAUCCCUCAAAAUGUUUUCCAAAGUGGCUAUGUAAUUUUGCAUACCAACCAGCAAUGAAUAAGAGCUCUAGUUGCUCCUUAACCAGAACUUAAUAUUGCCAAUCUUUUUAAUUUUAGCCACGCUAAUAUGUACGUAGUGGUAUCUCAUUAUGGUUUCUAUUUGCAUUUCCCUAAUGACUAGUGAUGUUGAGCAUCUAUUUAAUGUGCUUAUUUGCUAUCCAUAUGUCUUCUUUAGUGAAAAAUCUAUUCAAAUCUGUUAUUAAUUUUUUAAUUGGAUACUUCAUCUUUUGAUUGUUGAAUUUGGGGAGUUCUAUGUUCUAUGUACAAGUUCUUUAUCAGAUAUGUGUUUUACAAAUAUUUUCUCCAAAGCUAUAGCUUGACUUCUCACUUUCUUCUCAGUGUCUUUCAAAGAGCAGAAGUUCUUAAUUCUGAUUAGUGCAAUUUAUUGAUUUAUUUUCUUUCAUGAUUCCUGCUUUUUAUUUUCUAGGUAAGAAAGCUUUGCCUAAGCCAACAUUGCAAAAAUUUUCUCUUACAUUUUCUUUUGGAUAUUUCAUAGUUUUAACUUUUAUAUUUUGGUCUAGGAUCUGUUUUGAUUUAACUUGCCCAUGGUGCAAGGUAGGACCAAAGUUCACUCCUUUGCCUAUGGAUAUUCAAUUUUUUGAACAUCAUUUAUUUUUUUAAUUAAUUUUUUCAAAGAUUGGCACCUGAGUUGACUAUUGCCAAUCUUCUUUUUUUUUUUCAGCCGUUUCUCCCCAAAUCCCCCAAGUACAUAGUUGCAUAUUUUAGUUGUGGGUCCUUCUAACUGCGGCAUGUGGGACGCCACCUCAGCAUGGCCUGAUGAGCGGUGCCAUGUCCACGCCCAGGAUCCGAACCGGUGAAACCGUGGGCGGCCAAAACAGAGCACGUGAACUUAACCACUCGGCCACGGGGCCGGCCCCUGAAGACCAUUUAUGAGGAGACUAUCCUUUACCCGUUAAUUUAUGCUGGUACAUGUAUCAAAAGCAAUCAACCAUCCAUGGUUGUCUUAAAUGCUGUAGCUUUAUAACAAGUCUUGAGUCAGGUAGUAUAGGCUCUCUAACUUUACUCCUCCUUUCCAAAAUCAUUUUGGAUAGUCUAGGUCUUUGCAUCUGAUAUAAAGUCAGCAUGUUAAUUUUGCCAAAAAGGCUUGCUGGGAUUUUGAUUGGAAUUGUACCGAAUCUAUUGACCAAUUUGGCAUCUUAACAAUAUUGAGUUUUCUAAUCCAUGAAUGUUAUUUAAGUCUUCUUUAAUUUCAGCAAUGUUUUGCAGUUUUCUAUGUACAAGUCUUACUUUUGUAAUUAAAUCUAGUCCUAUUUCAUUUUUUGAUAAUAUAAAUUUUUUAAAAUUUCAGUAUCCAAUUGUUUAUAACCUUGUAACCAGUGACCUUGGUAAACUCAUUUGUUCUAGAAGCUGUUUUGUGGAUUAUUUGGGAUUUUCUAUGCAAAUGAUUAUGUGACCUGUGAAUAAAGACAUAUUACCUCUUCCUUUCAAA